AAAGUAUAGGAACACAGCUAUUUUUGUUUAGAGACAAUUUUAGUGGUGACCUGCUUGUGAUUCUGCAGCAGUCAUACCACUGAUAGUUUGUUAAUGCUUGGCUUUAUGCCACAAAAUAACCGAAGGCAAUAAGUUGACAGCAGUGCCCUUCAGUCCAUCCUCUGCAGGGACUCAGGUGUAGAAAACUUGGCUUGUGGCAAUGCCUUGUUAUUAUAUCAUCUCCUCUUCAUCUAAAGACCUAAUGAGGCAGAUAAGAAAACUGAGACAAAGAGUGGUCAAGGUUAUCCAGCAAGUCUGCGAGAGAGCAAGGGAUGGAAUCUACUGUAACCACUAACUGCAGGUAGCUGAAUCACAGAAAGAGAUGGGAGGAAGGAAGUCACCCUCCAUCUUCUGAAGCCGAGGCCUACAGGGUAAAGAAUUGCUGAUCCCUGGAGAUACACGCUUUCUCUCUGGUCAGAACUGACUACUGAACUAGCAUGUGAAUUCCCAAAUUCUGGCAUGAAUCUGCAGCUCAUUGCUAUCCAGCUCCUUCCUGUGGUCUGCAUGGCUACCAUUCAACCAGCGCACGCUGUGAAGACCAGAGGCCUUCAUCCAAGGGAGCUCUCAGGUACAUGUGACCUUUUUCCUCCGCAGAGCUCUCAAAAUGUAAUCAGGAUAGCUGGGAAUAUUCAUCCAAUUAUUUUAAACAAUCCCAGGGAGAUGAGUAUUUCUUCAGUUGGUACAGACACAAAAGUUUACUACCAUAUUUUCAACGAGU
ensembl:lncRNA